rnacentral:rRNA from 1 species
UACAGAGGUGGCAAGCGUUGUUCGGAAUUACUGGGCGUAAAGCGCGUGUAGGCGGCUCUUCAAGUCAGGCGUGAAAGCCCCGGGCUCAACUCGGGAACUGCGCUUGAUACUGUCGAGCUAGAGUGUGGAAGGGGCGAUUGGAAUUCCGUGUGUAGCGGUGAAAUGCGUAGAUAUACGGAGGAACACCAGAGGCGAAGGCGGAUCGCUGGGCCAACACUGACGCUGAGGCGCGAAAGCUAGGGGAGCAAACAGG